rnacentral:lncRNA from 1 species
UGGAUUAUAACCUCCAAUGGAGCGUUAUUUUACAGUAGGGAGUGGAUAAUCUCUAUUUUAGGGAGUUGGAACAUUUAGAACCCAUAUAUCUGUCAUGCUGCAGGCAUGCCACAGAUUAAUACAUACAUGUCAAUUAAUUUCUGGGACUUUAACCCAUACAAUUUGCUACGCAUUAGGUGUGCACAAUAUCAAUAUUGACAUGCCAAAGGAUUGUCCUUUCGAGACUUCAAUCCACAUCAUUUGCUACGCAACAGGCGUACAUCAUAUUGAUCACUGCUAUACCCAUAUUCUGUUCUUAUGGGACUUUAAUCUGUGCAGUGUAUUGUCAAUGUAUCCAACUUGCAAUCUGUAAAAUUUGCAUUAAUAAUUCAUGGAUACAUACAAG